CAAGCUGUGGACACUGGGCUGGAAGGCCCCAGAGGUUGGAAGCCCCCAGCUCUGAAGUCAUGGGAUCUGACAGUGUGGACAGUUAAGUGGGUCAGCACUUCUGUUGAGUCUAUGAACAGGGGUUCAGCCAUCCAGACAGGCUUUACAAAACUGAACAUCUACAUUCAAGGCAAAAGGAGAAAGAGAUGAAAAUAAUGGUGACAGCUCCAGUCACAAGCUGGACCAACCAAAGGUUGGUUCAUGUCCUUUUAGUGAGUCUACCAAGACCAUUUCCCUGUAUAUCUCCUCUGAACAGCAAUUCCAUCUGCCCAGGCCUUCAGAGUCAGAUGACUUUAUUGAAGACACAGCCGAUAUGCUGUGUUUCAUUCAGUGGAUACUCUAGUGCCCCAAAGAAUCAAGAGCAACUUCCCUUUGGGAGGCCAAGGCAGGCGGAUCAUGAGGUCAGGAGUUUGAGACCAGCUUGACCAACAUGCUGAAACCCCGUUUCUAUUAAAAAUACAAAAAUAUUAGCCGGGUGUGGUGGCGCAUGCCUGUAAUCCCAGCUAAUCAGGAGGCUGAGGCAGGAGAACUGCUUGAACCCAGGAGGCGGAGGUUGCUAUGAGCAGAGAUGGAGCCACUGCACUCCAGCCUGGGCGACAAAGGGACACUCCGUCUCAAAAAAAAAAGAACAACUUUUGACAUUAGCAAGCAUUUAAGCAUUUUGAGGGAAGAAGGAAAAGUUUUCAAUAAAAAGGUUUAUUACACUGCAGGCUACACCAGUCCUUUCAAAUUGCUUAAUAGAAAUAAUAAAGUUUAAUUGAUUGAGAAAAAGGAGUCCUCCAAAGAAAAUGAAUG
rnacentral:lncRNA from 1 species